GUAGGUGGCAAGCGUUGUCCGGAAUUAUUGGGCGUAAAGCGCGCGCAGGCGGUCCUUUAAGUCUGAUGUGAAAGCCCACGGCUCAACCGUGGAGGGUCAUUGGAAACUGGGGGACUUGAGUACAGAAGAGGAAAGCGGAAUUCCACGUGUAGCGGUGAAAUGCGUAGAGAUGUGGAGGAACACCAGUGGCGAAGGCGGCUUUUCUGGUCUGUAACUGACGCUGAGGCGCGAAAGCGUGGGGAGCAAACAGGGAUUAGAUACCCUGGUAGUCCACGCCGUAAACGAUGAGUGCUAAGUGUUAGGGGGUUUCCGCCCCCUUAGUGCUGCAGCUAACGCAUUAAGCACUCCGCCUGGGGAGUACGGCCGCAAGGCUG
rnacentral:rRNA from 1 species